GGGGGCGGGAGCCAGGAGGUCGCCGCCGCAGCUCGCGUGACGCACCGCGGGGCCUCGCCCGGGUGUUCGCUCCGCCGCCUGUCCGCGGAUGGGUGCUGCCGGCCCCGCGGCUGCCUGCGGGACACCUGAGCGCGGAGGGUGCGGCACGUUGGCACGUUGACCCUGUGACAGGAGCACUUCAGCCCAGGAAAGAAUGAUGUUUAGGCACGGCCUAACCACCUAAGUGAGGGCACUGAAGCUGCCGGGGGAAGGGCAAGCUCCGUGUUGCAGAGCCCAAGCCCGGUGGCGCUGGAUUUGUUUUGGUCUCAGUUUGCUUCAUCUGUGGAAUGGAGAUGAUUUCCUGUGUGAGCAUGAAAAUUUCUCCCAGCUCUGAAGACCUUUGAUUUUGUAAGAAUCAUUGUGAAGGUGUGGGCUUGGCAAAUGAAUGGAAAGAUGAGCAAUGGGAGAGGAAAGAAUUGAAGAGGACUGUGAGGUUUGAAGAAUGGCAUCCCCCAUGAAGUGGCGCUGAAAGAUCACGUUAGCACAGUUCCAUGAUGUGAAAUACCACAAGUCUGCAAUUUUUCGGUCUUGAGAGUGUCGCUGGGCUGAGACGAUGGAAAUCUUUCAGUAAUUAUACCAGUUUGUAUUCGUCUCACAUUUGGGACCAAAUACAAAUCCGAUCCACUCUUUCUUCCUGUGAAUAUUCAUAAAAAACAAAGUGCCAAUUCUGGUCUAAUCAUGUAUGGAACCAAAUAUGUUGAUGAGUCCUAAGUAUAUACUGUGUGUCUGUAUACAUAUGAAUAUAUAUAUUUGUACACACUAAUUUUGCUUGUGUCCUCCUCUGUGCAAUUUGUUUGUUUAGUAUAGGGGUUGCUGUUAUAAUGUGUUAAUAAGCUGCUGAAAGCUUGGCACCUAUUACUUGAAAUGACAGCUAUGUUAGAAGCCUAUUAACACUCCAUAGCAGCAGCUCUGCAGCUACUAGAAAUGAAUUUCAAAGAAGGUAAAUGAACAAAAGCGAUUCAUAUCUCUUAGGAAAGCAAAUACCAUGCCUAGAACCAUAUAUACUUUGGAAAUGUACAGUGUAUAAAAUGAAAAACCUCUUCCAGUUAAAGAAACAGCGGAAGGGAAUAUUUGGAGAAAGGAAGACUGCCUAAAAGAUUUCCCAACAACCUUGAAGACAUAAAUGUAAAGGAUACCAAACAUCACUUCCUCUCUUUGUUUCUAUUGUAUUUAAACCAGAGCUGUGUCAAACUUACAGGAACAGAAUAUAGUACAGGUAGAGGAAAUUCACUUUUCAUGAGCAAAAGUUAAAUCAUCUGGAUUUAGCUCAAACUUUUUCUUAGUUUCUGAGCUUAGAAGGAUACCCUGUGCUAUUGUUCUCUGAAGCAGGGCUCUUUGAGUCAGCUUGCUCUGCUUUUGAACUACUUUACUUUUGACUGUCAUUGGAGUCUGCAAGAUGGUUAAAAGUCCUGGGUAAACCUUAAUCAUGAUAAUAAAAAUGUGGUAAGUUAA